ACUUGCGUGAAUAGAAAAAGUGAAAUAUUUUUGUUAUGAAAAUUAGCUACUUGCUUUUAUAUUAAUGGAACUUAAAAAAAUCAAUAUUGAAAAGUAUUUUAAAGUUCCCACGAAUUAAUUGUAAAAAGUGCUGUAAAAGGGGAAAAAAGGAGAAAAUGAAUAACAAUUUUUCAUUAAAUGCAACAAAUAUCACAAUGAGCGACAGCAAGUUUGUACCGUCAUAUUUAAACUUUAACCAGUUAAUUAAACUUAGUUUGUCUAGUAAUUGAAUUUGAAGAAGAAAGUUAUUAUAUAUAUCUAAUACUUUUGAUUAGUUAUUUG
rnacentral:lncRNA from 1 species